GAAACGGCCAUUGGGUCGCGCACGCUGGAGCCGCCGCGAGCCAUUCCCCCCGCGAACACGUUAAAACCCUUUUCCGGUGGCCGGUGUAACGCGCGCAUACGUCUGAUCUCGCAUGGCCACGGCGGAUGAGGUCGGCGGCGGCGGCGGCGGUGGUGGCGCCGGAGUUGGAGCGGGCGAUCAGGUGAGGAGGGCGAAGACGGCGGCGCUGUUCCUGGCGGCCGUCGCGCUCCCGUGCCUCGUGCUGUACCGCGCCGCCGUGUCGCCGGCGGGGCUGUUCCUCCGGCCGGCCGCCCUGCCGGCGCCGCCGCGCGGCGACGUCGACCCGGUGAACAGUGAGGACGCGAGGCUGGAACGCGUCCUGAGGGCGGCGGCGAUGGCGAACGGCACGGUGAUCCUGACGACGCUGAACUCGGCGUGGGCGGAGCCCGGGUCGGUGGUGGACGUCUUCCUCGAGAGCUUCCGGAUCGGCGACGAAACGAGGUGGCUCCUCGACCACCUCGUCAUGGUCUCCCUCGACCUCACGGCGCACCGCCGCUGCCUGCAGAUCCACCGCCACUGCUUCGCCCUCACCACCGACGAUGGCUUCGACUUCUCCGGCGAGAAGAACUUCAUGACCGACGGCUACCUCAAGAUGAUGUGGCGACGCAUCGAUUUCCUCGGCCACGUUCUUGCCAAGGGCUACAGCUUCAUCUUCACGGACACGGACAUCGUGUGGUUCAGGAACCCGCUGCCGCACCUGCACCACGACGGCGACUUCCAGAUCGCCUGCGACCACUUCACCGGCGACCCGGACGACCUCAGCAACAGCCCCAACGGCGGGUUCGCGUACGUGCGCUCGACCUCGGCGACGGCGGCGUUCUACCGGUACUGGUACGCGGCGAGGGAGAGGCACCCGGGUCUCCACGACCAGGACGUGCUCAACCUCAUCAAGCGCGACGCCUACGUCGCCCGCCUCGGCGUCAGGAUCAGGUUCCUCAGCACCGACCUCUUCGCCGGCCUCUGCGAGCACGGCCGGAAUCUGAGCACGGUGUGCACCAUGCACGCCAACUGCUGCGUCGGCCUCCGCCGGAAGGUCGACGACCUCGGGCUCAUGCUCCAGGACUGGAGGAGGUUCAUGGCGACGCCCGGGAGUGACCGGCAUUCUGUCACCUGGAGUGUGCCUAGGAAUUGCAGUAUGAAGAAACUGGGGCGGUAGGAGAUUGGAAAGAUUAAUUGUUUAAUUGCAAUGUGUUAGUUUAGAGCCAACACUUGCUGUUGUCUGUACCAUAGAUGAGAUGCUGACUGGAACAAAUGAACAUGCAGAAGCGUUGGAGCAAACGCUCUAACGGCGACGGGUAAGCCACAGAUCCGUUGAGGAGGUCGUGUCGUGUGCGCCACAGGCUUCACUUUCAGUGACCCCGUCGCCGUUGUCUUAAUGCAGGAAGAGGUUCCUUUUCUUCUCACUUCGCUUGUGUGAUUGAGUUGCUACUAGUACUACCUAUCAGUGAUUAAUCAUCCAAUCCAUAAUUUUGACAAGGGUCCAGUCUGUCAUGUGACGUAGGAUCGAUUUAUAUCGCAUCAGAUCUCCAACAAGUUGAACGCCACGACAUGUAUGCUGUACUAGUAUCGUCUGAUGUACUCCAUGCCAAUAUGUGAAGUACUACUCCGCAAUUUUGAAAAAAAAAUUGUCGCGAAUGAUAGUACAGAUUAAAAUGUUAAAUACUCUCGUUUUUUAAUACAUACCAUUGUUCGUCUUAUUAGAAUAUUUUUACGAAAUGCAUAAAAUAUAAAUCAUGUUUAAAGUACUUUCAAUAAAAAAAACUCACAACAAAAUAAAUAAUAAUUAAUUUAUUUUUUAAAAAUUAAGAUAAUAUAUGUUCAAAAGUCAAUGCUGUCAUGUAUUUAUAAAAGUGGGUUUAGUAAGAUACAAUAAAUGUGAGCAUUACAGAAAACUCUCCCAUCAUCCCAUCCGUCCAUGUGGUAACCGGUGGACUAUGGAACUAUAGAAAAGCAUCGGGCUGUGCGCAGCGCGUCCCUCUAUGCGAUUGAGCCAGAGCAGGUUCGCACUUACGGCACCGAGGGUCUAUUUGAGGAGCUUAAAAUUCUGAGAAAUAACUAAUUGGUUGUAAACUUUCGAGAAUCUGAAAAAAAAAGUUGGGUUUUUUUUCUACCUUAUGGCUUCUAAUUUAUGGCCUGUUCACUUUAAUAACAAAAAAAAACAUUACCAAAUUUUGGCAUUGCCAAAAUUUUGGUAUAGUUGUCAAAUUUUUGGCAGGAUUUUUUACAUAGUUAUCAAAUUUUGACAGCAAAUUAAAUGUAGCCUUUUUUUUUGACAACUUUACCAAAAUUUAGUAAUGUUGAAAAUGUCAUCAAAGUGAACAGGCCCUUAAAUUACACAACUAUAACUUUGUAGAAUAAAAAAUUAAACUGAUAAGAGAAUAUC